AACGAACGCUGGCGGCAGGCCUAACACAUGCAAGUCGAGCGGACCCUCCGGGGUUAGCGGCGGACGUGGGGGUAACGCGGGGGAACGUGCCCGUUGCUUCGGAAUAGCCCUGGGAAACUGGGAGUAAUACCGGAUACGCUCUUUUGGGGUAAGAUCUACCGGCGAAGGAUCGGCCCGCGUUGGAUUAGGUGGUUGGGGGGGUAAUGGCCUACCAACCCGACGAUGCAUAGCUGGUGUGUUAGGAUGAUAAGCCACACUGGGGCUGAGACACGGCCCAGACUCCUAGGGAAGGGAGCAGUGGGGAAUCUUAGACGAUGGGGGAAACCGUGAUCUAGCCAUGCCGCGUGAGCGAUGAAGGCCUUAGGGUUGUAAAGCUCUUUGACAGGGGAAGAUAGUGACGGUACCCGGAGAAGAAGCCCCGGCUAACUACGUG
rnacentral:rRNA from 1 species